CGUCAGUGUUAUCCCAGGAGGCUGCCUUCGCCAUCGGUAUUCCUCCACAUCUCUACGCAUUUCACUGCUACACGUGGAAUUCUACCUCCCUCUGACACACUCUAGCCUGACAGUUUCCAACGCAGUUCCCAGGUUGAGCCCGGGGCUUUCACAUCAGACUUGUCAAACCGCCUGCGCACGCUUUACGCCCAGUAAUUCCGAUUAACGCUCGCACCCUACGUAUUACCGCGGCUGCUGGCACGUAGUUAGCCGGUGCUUCUUCUUGAGGUACCGUCAUUAGCGAACUAUGUUAGAGUCCGCCGUUUCUUCCCUCACGAAAGAGCUUUACAACCCGAAGGCCUUCUUCACUCACGCGGCGUGGCUGGAUCAGGGUUGCCCCCAUUGUCCAAAAUUCCCCACUGCUGCCUCCCGUAGGAGUCUGGGCCGUGUCUCAGUCCCAGUGUGGCUGAUCAUCCUCUCAGACCAGCUACAGAUCGUCGCCUUGGUAGGCCUUUACCCUACCAACUAGCUAAUCUGACAUCGGCCGCUCGUAUAACGCAAGGUCCGAAGAUCCCCUGCUUUCUCCCGUAGGACGUAUGCGGUAUUAGCACAACUUUCGCUGCGUUAUCCCCCAUUACACGGUACGUUCCGAUGCAUUACUCACCCGUUCGCCACUCGCCAUCAACCUAGCAAGCUAGGUCAUGCUGCCGUUCGACUUGCAUGUGUAAAGCAUGCCGCCAGCGUUCAAUCUGAGCCAGGAUCAAACUC
rnacentral:rRNA from 1 species